rnacentral:rRNA from 1 species
GGCCCUACGGGGCGCAGCAGGCGCGAAAACUUUACAAUGCGGGCAACCGUGAUAAGGGAACCUCGAGUGCCAGGUUACAAAUCUGGCUGUCGAGAUGCCUAAAAAGCAUUUCAUAGCAAGGGCCGGGCAAGACCGGUGCCAGCCGCCGCGGUAACACCGGCGGCUCGAGUGGUAACCGUUAUUAUUGGGUCUAAAGGGUCUGUAGCCGGCCGGAUAAGUCUCUUGAGAAAUCUGGCAGCUUAACUGUCAGGCUUUCAGGAGAUACUGUCUGGCUCGAGGCCGGGAGAGGUGAGAGGUACUUCAGGGGUAGGGGUGAAAUCUUGUAAUCCUUGAAGGACCACCAGUGGCGAAGGCGUCUCACCAGAACGGACCUGACGGCAAGGGACGAAAGCUAGGGGCACGAACCGGAUUAGAUACCCGGGUAGUCCUAGCCGUAAACGAUACUCGCUAGGUGUCGGCCACGGUGCGACCGUUGUCGGUGCCGUAGGGAAGCCGUGAAGCGAGCCACCUGGGAAGUACGGCCGCAAGGCUGAAACUUAAAGGAAUUGGCGGGGGAGCACCACAACGGGUGGAGCUUGCGGUUUAAUUGGAUUCAACGCCGGAAAUCUU